rnacentral:rRNA from 1 species
UUGAACGCUGGCGGCAUGCCUUACACAUGCAAGUCGAACGGCAGCACGGGAGCAAUCCUGGUGGCGAGUGGCGAACGGGUGAGUAAUAUAUCGGAACGUGCCCAGUCGUGGGGGAUAACGUAGCGAAAGCUACGCUAAUACCGCAUACGAUCUAUGGAUGAGAGCGGGGGAUCGCAAGACCUCGCGCGAUUGGAGCGGCCGAUAUCAGAUUAGGUAGUUGGUGAGGUAAAGGCUCACCAAGCCGACGAUCUGUAGCUGGUCUGAGAGGACGACCAGCCACACUGGGACUGAGACACGGCCCAGACUCCUACGGGAGGCAGCAGUGGGGAAUUUUGGACAAUGGGCGCAAGCCUGAUCCAGCAAUGCCGCGUGCAGGAUGAAGGCCUUCGGGUUGUAAACUGCUUUUGUACGGAACGAAACGGUGAGCUCUAAUACAGUUUGCUAAUGACGGUACCGUAAGAAUAAGCACCGGCUAACUACGUG